GCGAGAGUGGCGGAAUUGGUAGACGCGCUAGGCUUAGAAUCUAGUGCCGAAAGGCGUGGGGGUUCAAGUCCCUUCUCUCGUA